rnacentral:tRNA from 1 species
GGGGUUGUGGCUCAGUGGUAGAGUGCUUGUCUUGCACAUGUGAAGCUCUGAGUUCAAUCCUCAGCACCA